rnacentral:rRNA from 1 species
UACGAAGGGGGCUAGCGUUGCUCGGAAUCACUGGGCGUAAAGCGCACGUAGGCGGCUUUCUAAGUCAGGGGUGAAAUCCUGGAGCUCAACUCCAGAACUGCCUUUGAUGCUGGAGAGCUUGAGUUCGGGAGAGGUGAGUGGAACUGCGAGUGUAGAGGUGAAAUUCGUAGAUAUUCGCAAGAACACCAGUGGCGAAGGCGGCUCACUGGCCCGAUACUGACGCUGAGGUGCGAAAGCGUGGGGAGCAAACAGG